CGCCAUUCUCCUGCCUCAGCCUCCCGAGUAGCUGGGACUACAGGCGCCCGCCACUGCGCCCGGCUAAUUUUUUGUAUUUUUAGUAGAGAGGGGGUUUCACCGUGGUCUCGAUCUCCUGACCUCGUGAUCCGCCCGCCUCAGCCUCCCAAAGUGCUGGGAUUACAGGCGUGAGCCACCGCGCCCGGCCAGUUCAAUGGAUUUUAAAAAUUAUUAUUCUCUAGAAAAAAGACCACGAACUUUGGAGUGGACAUCCUGAGACCUGCCUACGAAGACCAUUAGGUGGCCUCCAGAAGACACUCCCCUGAUUCCUACACCGAGGGAACACACAGCAGCAAGCUAGGAAAGAAGGGGUGACCCAGCCCAACGCUGUAAACCAGGGCGCGAACCGGCGUUGAGCUGUGCAGCUGCGCCCUGGGCUCCAGUCCUGCUCUGCCGCAGACCCCACCGGAGCCAGCACCUGCCUCCCCGACCCUCGCUGGGGCGGCUGUGAGAUGAGCCCAGAGCCUUCCUGAGCCAACCCUCGCAAGGAAAGUCUGUCUGUUCACCCCACUAUCCUUGUCUUGAAGGAUGAAGAAAAGAGGGCCCCCCGGGAGGUCCCAAAAGGUGGAAUGGACAUCUGGGAUCCAAGCACAGCAAUUUCUUUAUUUUUCUUAAGGUAUCCAGCUUGUUGGAAUCUAAGAUCUGCGAAGCCUCUCACUAGAGGAUGAAAAUCGUUCUGCAUAAAGGCCUGGGCUUUAUGAAAAAUAUAUUCACACCUCCCGUGUCCGAGCUGGGAUACCAAAGAAGUUCCUGGUUGAGUACUACUUAUGAAUGAAGGAUUCAGGGGAUGCACAGGACACAGAGGAAUCUGGGGGAUAUUAUGGUUCUGGGAAUGUGGAAUGUAACGUCUCAUCUUCAGCCCAUCUGUGCUACUGAUCAUCUCAUUCCAGAAGCCAUGCCUUCUCUCAGGAGCAGACAGCACAAGACUUUCCUGCCAGAGGCACAGUCCCCAGUGGGAGUAGCAUCCACAUAAGACAGGAUGCAGAGAUGUCUUCAAGCAGCUUCAAACAAAACUUCAAGAAAGAAAGUGCAAGUGAAAAAGGAAAUUCAUCCUUCCAGUCACUUAACACAGCACUGUCACGGACACCUUGUGCCUCCUUAAAAUUCGUAUACUGAAGUUCUAAGCCCCAGUACCCCAGAAUGUGACCUUCUUUGGAAAUAGGGUCAUUGCAGAUAUGAUUAGUUAAGAGGAGAUCAUACUGGAGUGGGCUUUAAUCCAAUAUGACUGGUGUCCUUAUGUAAAGGGGAAAUUUGGACACAGACACACACAAGGAGAACACCAUGUGAACUGAAGUCAAAGAUUUGGGUGAUGCUUCUACAAGCCAAGAAAUGCCAAAGAUGACCAGCAAAGCACCGGCAGCUGGUGGAGGAGCCUGGACCAGAUUCUUCCUCACAGCCCUCAAAAGGAACCAAUCUUGCCAAAGCUUUGACUUAGACUUCUAGCCCCCUGUGAUGGUUAAUGUUAAGUGGCAGCUUGACUGGGUUAAGGGAUGCCCAGAUAGCUGGUAAGACAGUAUGUCUGUGUGCAUCUCUCAGAGUGUUUCUGGACAAGAUCAGCAUUUGAAUCCUUAGAGUAAAGAAGAUCUGCCCUCACCCACGUGCAUCACCCUAUCUCUGGAGAGCGCGAACAAACAGGAGGAAGGGCACAUAUGCUCCUUCUGUUCCAGCUGGCACAUCCAUCUUCUCCUGCCCCCUGACUUCAGAGCUCCUGGUUCUCGGGCCUCAGGAUUCCAGCACUUACAUGAGAGCGUGCUUCCCCCUCCCUACUCCACCCCUAGGUUCUCCGCCCUUUGGCCUCUGACUGAAUUCCACCACCAGCUUUUCAGGGUCUCCAGCUUGCAGACGGCAGAUCGUGGGACUUCUUGGCCUCCAUAAUUAUGUAAGCCAAUUCCCAUAAUAAAUCUCCUAUCUAUCUAUCUAUCUAUCCAUCUAUCAAUCAUCUAUCUAGUCUAUCUAUCUAUCUAUCUCUAUCCUAUUGAUUCUGUGUCUCUGAGGAACCCUAAUACACCUCCAGAACUGUGAGAUGAUACAUUUCUGUGGUUUAAGCCACUCAGAAGGUGGUACUUUGUUUCACCAGGCCUAGCAAACUAAUACAAGUGCAUGGAAGGUGACUACUCAUGACUGCAACUUAGAGAACAAGGGUUAUAAUAAAAAUAAAAGUGUUAUACAAAGGUGGCAAGAUAAAUGACAAUAAAUGAAAAUAUUAACAUGUGAAUUAAAAAGUAAAGAUAUUUUUCCUAGCAUUCUCCCAGAAAGUAGAGACGCGUCUCUCUUGUUUGCCAUCAUAUCCAGCAAUGGCAAGAUAAGUUCUAGGCACUUCAUAAAAAUUUGUUGAAUGAAA
rnacentral:lncRNA from 1 species